rnacentral:lncRNA from 1 species
GCCUACUCCGUUACUUCCUUAUCAAUGUUGUCUUCCAAAGAAGAAAAUAAUAAACUAGUCGAAUAAUUUUAAAUGUUUAUAGAGUACCCGACAAACAUGCAAUAUUGAAAUUUCAAAAUUCUUAAGCUAAACAAAUCAAAGAAAAUCAUAAGAACAAGGAUUAAUGCCUAAGUAACUGUGAACAAAGCGAAGGACCCCAACUUAAACUUCGUAUCGUAUGGGUACUGCAUUGUCAUAGCUUCGCAUGACUGUUAUUAACUCAUUUAUCCACUUCUCCUAGCAACUUGGAAUUCAUUGUUGUUUCAGGAUUAGGCACACGUCAUAGAAUGCAUGUGUAUUAUAGAGUUUAUACACAUAAAACUCACACUUUGGUUACACAUAAAAUUUACACUUCACACUUUAGAGGUGGCUGCGGAUCUUUUUUAUCCAACACAUGUGAUGUGCACAAAAAAUUAUUAGUUAGAAUGGGUUUAUCACGUAUACGAUGCAUCAUUCAAUAACAAGCCAGUACAUCAUUUUUAAAAUUUUUUUAUUUUUUUCAAAACAGUAAAAAUUAUCAACUGAUCAAUCAUAGUUAAUAAAAAACAAAUUUUCAUUCAAAAUUUUCAAUCAAAUUUGGAUAACGUUAUAUAUUUUUUUAAUAAUAAAUGAUGUGCUGAUUUAUUAUUGAUGGUACAAAAUACAUAUGGUAAAAUUGUUCUGACUAACAAUUUCUCAAUGUACAUGGGAGUGGUCUGCACAUGCAAUCAUGCUAAUGUACCAUGGGCCUAGCUGAUGUAAGCUAUAGGCCCUGGGGCUGGGAUGUGGACCAAUCCUACGUGCUGCAUACGGCCGGGCACAAGUGGAGGCACGGAGGAUGUGCACUCGAAGGAGGAUGGAGGUUUUUGGAAUUUUCUCGAUCACGGAUGCCACAAAUGCUAGAUGUCAGUUUGCACAAUUAUGAGAAUAGGAUGUAAAUUUAAAUAGGGUUGAACACAAGUGAUGGUAUUUCUUAUUAAGGGAAAAAUUCAUAGCCUUAUGAUGCACAUUUUGACGGAUGAUUAUUCCAGUGUCCCAGAAAAAACUAGACAGGAUUACCUGGAAUUGAGAGGUGAAGUUUGCAAAAGCCAAAAGCUUGGUCUGUUAAAUAUCUCAGACACAAGGAAGAGGAAAGCAGGGAGAAAAAAGGAAACAAAUGUGCACGAAGGGAAAAUAAUAACUAGGCUGCUAGAUUAUGAUCUGAUAACGUAAACUUUAGGUAGAGUUUCAUUAGGUUCUCAUCAAAAGUCUCGCUGUGCUUGAAGAAUUUCAAAAGCAAAAUUAGGUUUUGAAUUCAAGCAAACUAUGACAAAAGAACAAAAAAGAGCUUAAAGCCCCCUUUUUUCUCCUUUAAAGAUGAACACGGAAAUUUCCAUGUCAAGUGAAUUUCAAUCAUAUUACAAGAGGCCAAAAGAAUUCGGUCUCAUAAUAUGAAAUGUCUUAAUAUUCCAUAAUGCCACUAUUAAUAAUAAAUACAUAGCGGAUACACAAAUAAAGAUUUCUAGAUCAAAACGUUAAGUAUUGUUUCACUAGGAAAUUAAAAGGUACAGAAAGAGUCUAAUUAUUUUGAUCUCAAAACCUGAAAAUUGAGUAAAAUACUUCAAUAUACAUCAAUAAGUCAUCUGCCAUGAUUGGAUGCAGUUUAUUUUGUGUUUGCUUCAUCUAAAUCUAACCCAUAUUUCAAGCAGGUCUAGAUUUAGGUCUUCGCAGGACUAGUUCUGAACAGAAGAAGGUGAGCACCGCUUCCUCAAGAUAUGACAGGUCCAGUCAAGGUUGAGGGCAAUUUGCAUCUUGCUGUUUCACUUAUGAUACAGUCCAGUGCACAAGUUCAAGUUUAAUUCAUCUAGACCCCAAUUCCCCAAUAACUUGAAUAGCUAAUUCCUUGAUGCUGAUCCAAUGCUCAUGUCAAAUUUUUAACACUGGUUUGUUUUAGGUCUAGUUAUUGGUAAUCUAGGAGAUUCAAUCCAUUUGUAAAAUCAAACACCGGAGGCUUCACCUCCAGUUCUGAAACAACAGACAAAACCAACAGAAGAAAGAAAGUUUGGACAGACAGACAACUCCUUUGAAAGAUUUAUGACAACCAUGUGCUUCGCGGUCGACCUCAGUUACCAUGUGACUCUUGCAAGGACAUGAUUUGAGCUCAGCUGGACAAAGGAUGGACUUCAGUAAUGGAUUAGAAAUUGUUUUUGAGUUGCUCUAGAAUGAUCUAUAAAACAUAUCCACUUUAGUGCAUGUUGCUAUUCAGGAGUAAAGAGGGUCAAUCAUCGUCUAUUAUAAACUGGAAUAUGCUGUGUUUCCUUGAUAAAUAAAUUUAUUUUUUCAACAGAUGCGCUCUUUCUGGGUUUUUUUUUAUCUCUGUAGCUUGAUUGAGAGCCUAUAUACAUGCAACUAUUUCUUUUCAGUUCACAUGAAUAAUUAAAAGACAAUAUAUAAGUUUUCUGAUGUCUUCUCCAAAUGUGCAACUACAACCUUAAUACUUUUAUCUGAAGCAUCACCGAACAAACGGGAAAGGCAAAAUUCUGCCCAUGGUGAAAAAACAGGCAGAUUCCUGUCAGUAUUAAACUAGAGGUUCUAAUUUCCAUCUACAGAAAAAAGCAAAAAAAAGAAAAAAAAAAGAAGGAACAGAGCCUGCCUCAAUAUAACCAGAAGAAAAGCAUUUGGCGCUCAAAAACUCAUUUCAGUAACUAAAACUACAUUAGCUGAUAGAUAAGAAGAGGAAAGCAAAAGAAAUAUCUUUAGGAAAAGAUUGAGGCAAGCAGAAAAUAGAUAUAUAUCUGCACCUAAAGGUCCUAAACCAAUAAAUCUAAUUGGAGAUUAUAAAUUCUGGCAGACUGUAUGUUAUUUAUUUUUUGACAUAGAAAACCACAAAGUACAAAAGAUUCUAUGCAUCUUGUAUAAACAGAUACACAUCUAAACUUCUAUAUAAUUUCAUAUAUAAUUGCUCAUUUAGAAACUUUGCAAGCCAGAACCAGAAAAGUUUUCAGCAUCUUGAUGAAAGCGAAGGUUAAAUUAGAGAUGUUGAGCAAUAAAAUGCAAAAUAUAUAUUUUGAGGCAAUUAGGAAAACUUCCUGUACAUGAACUGACACAUUAUAAAGUUUCUGAAAAUGCCUUUUUCUUUACUUUGCAAGACAUGGGAUGCUAAGAGCUCUAUAGAAGUUUGUUCCAGCAAUUUGAUUUAUUAGUGUUGCGGUAAAGGGUUGUGGCUUAAAUGGGUCGGUCUCCGUUCCCACACGUGAGGAAUUGUCCACCUCAUGGAGGAGAGAAGGUCUUAUUCUAUAUAAGCUAGACUCUCAGACGGGUCGGUCUCUACUUCGGCAAGCGUGAAGUAUUAUCCGCUUCGGCCUCUGGUCUAUAGUAUAGCAUAGGACCUCAUGGUUUUGCCCUAUUAAAGGCACCUCAUGGGGGAGAAAAUGUUUCAUUCCAAAUAAAUCAGACUCUCUCUUGACUUACAACUGAUGUAAGACCAAAGAUGCCGUCCUACUAUAGUAAUUAGAAUUAAUUCAAAUCAUUGUUUGGGCCUUUCAUAAUGCAUGUCUACUGUCCAGAAAGGGUUCAAAAAUUGCCGGGAAUCUGUAUUCCUUCUGUAACUGAAGUCCCUCGAUCACCUUAUCUCACAAUCAUGAGGGGGAGAGAGAGGUGUGGGGACGAAGAGAAUUAGUAGAGCUAAAAGAAAGCAUAAUGAUUGCAAACGGAUGUUCUAAUGUUAUUUUUUUAAUCAUCUAACAUAUGAUUCGGAAGAACAGAUAGAGACCAAAUCCUAGCUAACAGCGCUGGAGGGAAGUAGGGAUGAAGCGAAAUGGUGCUUCAACAGAACCUGGUGCGAUUGAUUUUAUCAUCUAGAAUUUAUUUUGGAGAACAGAUAGAAAUAAAGGCAUGGCUAAUAGCGCUAGAGCAAAGUAGGACGAAGCGAAACUGUGCUCCUAUAGCGUUUUGUGUUAGUCAUAUUUCAAACCGACAAGAAAAAAUUGUAACACAAACUUCAGGCUGCCAUUGUGGAUGUGUGGAAGAACCAGGUUAUGGUUAGAACUAGUAGGUUAGGUUAAUUGCAAGAUUUACAUUUGUUAAGCUAAAAUGGUGAAGAGCCUACAGUGAACUGGUAAAUUUUGAGGAGCUCGUGGUAACCAGAGUUACUGAAUGUGCGUGAGAUUAAAGAAUGAGGAGAAUCUAAGAUUGUAUUGGUGAAAAUUGGGAGAAAAUUAUAAACCUGAUCACUUAUAGUUGUGUUGAGGCAAAUUAACAAGUACAGGCGAAGAAUAAUUCUGACCUCGUCCUCUGGAUCACCAACUGCCGAGCUUCUUCUCCCCUGUGGCUGGAAACAAACAACUAGGAAACAUAACAACGCUGUGUCCUCCAAUUAACGAGAGAUCGCCCGACGGCCAAUGCUCGCGUCGCACUCCACCUUGGAAAUUUGCCGAGCGAGAAGAUAUGGAGAGCCCCAUGGGGGGGGCCUUUCGCAUGGCAUUUUGGGACACUUGGAGGGUAUG